rnacentral:rRNA from 1 species
AGGAUCAUUAAUGAGUUUUGAUGGAGGUUUUGAUGCUGGCAGCCGUCUUUCAGGCCGCAUGUGCUCGCCCCCUGACAAAUCAUCUUCCAAACACCUGUGCACAAUUUUGAGGGGGGGCUCAUGGGUUGAUUACCGUGAUUUUGGUGAUUUACUUUCAUUUCCCUCCCUUGAAUUUUUAUACAUUAUAUAUACACUUGUUGCAAUGCUGAACGUGUUUUGCGCCGUAAGGCCUUAAUAAAUUACAACUUUUAACAACGGAUCUCUUGGCUCUCGCAUCGAUGAAGAACGCAGCGAAAUGCGAUAAGUAAUGUGAAUUGCAGAAUUCAGUGAAUCAUCGAAUCUUUGAACGCACCUUGCGCUCCCUGGUAUUCCGGGGAGCACGCCUGUUCGAGUGUCGCGAAAUUUCUCAAGCUUUGGAUGACUUUCUUGUCUGUCCUUUGUCUUGGUUAUUGGGCUCUGCCGUGUUCCUCUAUUGGUACGGCUGGCCUUAAAAGUAUUAGCUGGCCUUCAUGUGAAGCUGGUUCUACUCAGCGUGAUAAUAAUCUGAUCGCCGAGGACAUCUUCUUUUGGGGAUGGCCAGUUUUCGUUUGGGCUGCUUCUAACCUGGUGGUACAGUUCCGUGCCCCACUUUUCGGCUUUGACCUCGAAUCAGGUGGGACUACCCGCUGAACUUAAGCAUAUCAAUAAGCGGAGGAAAAGAAACUAACAAGGAUUCCCCUAGUAACGGCGAGUGAAGCGGGAAGAGCUCAAAUUUAAAAUCUGGCAAUCUUUGGUUGUCCGAAUUGUAAUCUAGAGAAGCGUUUUCCGCGCUGGACCGUGUAC